rnacentral:rRNA from 1 species
ACGGGAGGCAGCAGUGGGGAAUAUUGGACAAUGGAGGAAACUCUGAUCCAGCGACGCCGCGUGAGUGAAGAAGUAUUUCGGUAUGUAAAGCUCUAUCAGCAGGGAAGAUAAUGACGGUACCUGACUAAGAAGCCCCGGCUAAAUACGUGCCAGCAGCCGCGGUAAUACGUAUGGUGCAAGCGUUAUCCGGAUUUACUGGGUGUAAAGGGAGCGUAGACGGCAUAGCAAGUCUGAAGUGAAAUGCAUGGGCUCAACCCAUGAACUGCUUUGGAAACUGUUAAGCUAGAGUGCAGGAGAGGUAAGUGGAAUUCCUAGUGUAGCGGUGAAAUGCGUAGAUAUUAGGAGGAACACCAGAGGCGAAGGCGGCUUACUGGACUGUAACUGACGUUGAGGCUCGAAAGCGUGGGGAGCAAACAGGAUUAGAUACCCUGGUA